AUUGAACGCUGGCGGCAGGCUUAACACAUGCAAGUCGAGCGGGGUGAUGGUGCUUGCCCUAUCACUUAGCGGCGGAUGGGUGAGUAAUGCUUAGGAAUCUGCCUAUUAGUGGGGGACAACACCUCGAAAGGGAUGCUAAUACCGCAUACGUCCUACGGGAGAAAGCAGGGGAUCACUUGUGACCUUGCGCUAAUAGAUGAGCCUAAGUCGGAUUAGCUAGUUGGUGGGGUAAAGGCCGACCAAGGCGACGAUCUGUAGCGGGUCUGAGAGGAUGAUCCGCCACACUGGGACUGAGACACGGCCCAGACUCCUACGGGAGGCAGCAGUGGGGAAUAUUGGACAAUGGGGGGAACCCUGAUCCAGCCAUGCCGCGUGUCUGAAGAAGGCCUUCGGGUUGUAAAGGACUUUUGUCAGGGAGGAAAUCCCUAGUGCUAAUAACACUGGGGGAUGACAGUACCUGAAGAAUAAGCACCGGCUAACUACGUGCCAGCCGCCUCAGUAA
rnacentral:rRNA from 1 species